ensembl:lncRNA
AGAACAGAAAACAGUCCAUCAGGUGAGCAGAGGGAACAUAAGGGGGCUCUGUGAGAAAGACUCAGUACAUCUUAUUCUGGAAGCUGCUAUGCUGGAAAAAACAUGCUUGGGCUCCUUUCCUGCUUUCUCAUCAUCUGGAAGGUGGACGUGGGAUGACGGCAGGCAGUACAGGUACAGGGGGUAUAGCUCUGGAGGGAGAGAAACCCUGCUGCUCCAUCGCUUCCCCCUGGCUGGGUUCUCGAAUAGGGAGGGAGUUUCCUGCGGAGGCUCUUUUCAGAUCAAUGCUGUUUAAAGCUUAAAAAGAAAAAUAUGGCCUAAGUAAAAUGAUAAUAAAGAAGCUCAAGAUAAGACAGCCUUUUUUGCAGGUCUUAUAUCACAUCAGCCAUGCUUUAGAGCAGUCCUGGAGGUGAGCGUCAAUUAGACACAGAAUCUUUUUAAAAAAAAUUAAUAAAGUUUAGAUUAAAUACUAAAGAGGAAAGUUGUAGUCCAUUCUUCCUCGACAAAGGCUCAGAAAAACAAGGUUGCUUACUCUUUCCUCCCCUGAGGCUGGCAUGGGAAAAGAGCUUCUAUAAAAAUGUUUUGAAAUUCUUAAAAAAUAUUUUGAAAGUAAUUUUUACAAUUAAAACUUGUAUUAUGGGAGAGAAUAUUUUACACCAAUGGGGCCAUUUGGUAAAAAUGAUCCAGAAAAGCAAUUUUUCUCUAUUAUAUUUUAUUUCGCUCUAUUUUGAUAGGAAAAAGGAAGGGUGGAAUGGUAAGCAACCUUUUAAUACAGUUUAGAAACUUAAUGUGGAAGGGGCACUAAUAUUGUAAUUACUAGUUUUCUUUUAUCAGCGCCAGUUCUCUUUGUUGCUCUUGCUAUUUAAAGUUACUGUUCAUACACUGUGGCUAAUUCCCUUUGUUAAAUUUCACAGUGAAUGCAGCUUCCUGAAUAUUUGUUAUUGCAGUCCUAUGGAUGUACGCUUCUCAGAUAAAGGAAGAACCGGGUGCAUCCAUCUGUGCGCAAAUUAAAAAUGAGUUUAACCCCAUGGUUUCCGUGACCCUGUCCCUUGGGGCAGAGUGUGCCCUAUGCUUUGGACUAACGAGAUGUAAAAUGGUAGGAACACCUGUGUUGUAUUUUUAAUGGCAUUUAAUGGUACAUCAAAAAUGUCUUCCAUAUGAUCCUGUAUGUAUUCAAAGAGGAACCGGGAGGUGAGGGCGCCCUCCAUGCCCAGGGGCUGGCGUAGAGGGAGGUGGAGUCUGGAGAAGGAGAGAAAACAGUGACAGUCUUCUAACAUUGAAAGGGAAAUGUCUGUUUUCAGUAUGCAAGCUAUUCACCCUCCGAGGUUCUGGUUUAUUUGCAGCUGGGUGGGAGUUUGGGCAUCACAGUCACACCACCUCCCUGAAGAGAGACUCAAGAAGGAAGGAAAGAGGGGAGCCACCGAGGCAGGCUGCUAGGGAGGGUCUACAGGCCACAGCAGGACAGGGGAGCCUCUUUCUAGUGCCUGACCAGAGCCGCUGGGGAGGAAGAAGUGGAGGCCCUUUUGGUUUCUGUGAUAAUCCUUCUCUACCUCUCGCCUUUCAACAGGACUGCCACUGGCAAGAGCCCAUCUUCAGGGAAAGCGUGCACAUUCGGUUUUCUCUCUUCUGUUCCUCCUCUGAGAGAGAGAGAGAGAAUAAGAAAAUAAUGGACAUUUCUCUCUGUCCCUCUCAGUCUAAUAUCGGAAAGAGAAAAAGGGAAAGGUCUACCACCCACAGGAAUAGAUUUUGCUUUGUCAUUGGGGAUUAUAACAUUUAUUUAUUCAUUCAACGGGUAUUUGUUGAAUGUCUGCCAUGCGCCAGGCUCUAUUCUAGGCUUGGGGGAGAGGAGUGAACAAGUCAGAGAAGGUCUCAGCUUUCAAGGAGCUACAGUCAGGUGAGGUGAGACGGCAAUAAAGGAGAAAACAGGUGGAAGUGAUGCAUAGGAGGAAGACGAAGCAGGGAAGUGAGUGACAGACUGUGAGAGCAUGUUUGAGUGGCUGGCUGGGGGAAAGACAAUGAUAUCUGAUUGGAAGCCAGAGUGAUGUGACCAGUUGGAGCGCAUGUUCCAGGCUGAGGGAAGAGCAAGUGCAAGGGGUGCCAAGAAAGGCCAUCCUCUCUUCUGGUGGACACUCCAAGAAGCCAGCAUGGCGGGCUGUGGGCCCGGGGAGAGACUGCAGAUGCGAGCCUCAGCAGAGCCAGGACAAGCCCCUGACUUGGAUUUUAUCCUAAGUGCACUGGUAAAUCAGGGAGGGCUUUAUUUACCUAUGCAUUGUUUGAAAACGAUGGAUGAAUUUAAAUGUACUCAAAAACAGAGAGGAGAGCAUCAUGGAUCUCACCCAGACAUCACCAGCUUCCAUCAUCCACACCCUCCUUAUGUCCAAGCCCUACUCGAUUUUCCCAUCCUGACCACAUUUUAAUGCACCUCCAGAUAUCACUGCAUUUCUCCCAUAAAUAUGUCAGCAUGUAUCAAAUAAGAAUAGGGCAUCAAAUAAAUAUUACCAAAGAGUGUGUGCUUAAACAUUGAAUGUGUGAAUAUUCUUUUAUUUUGUUUGAAUUAGAAUCCAAAUAAGGUUCAUAUAUUGAAACUGGUUAGUACUUCACUUAAAUCUCAUUUAACUCAUUAGUUUCCUUUCGUGAGAGGAUUUAAAGGCAGCGUAUCAGGAUUUGUCACUUUUUAAAAGACUUUUCUAGUUCCAUGUGGAUAGCAGUGAGCAGGAGGGCAAGAAGGAAGAAGAGGAAGUGCUUAGGAGUCAGUGCAGUGGUCCAGAGGGAAAGGACGGUGCUAGGGGGGUGGAUGAGAUGGAAAGAAUUUGGAUAAAUAUGGGGUUUGUUCAUUUAUUACCUCAUUUUCCAGUUAGAGCUUACUGGAUGUAUUUUUUACAUAUAGCCAUACGAAUCUGCAGAGUAUGCAGGCAUGCAUGUAUGAAUGAUGGAAAAAUUUAUGCAUUAAAUCUAUGCAAUUAAUGCACUCACAUGUCUAGUAUGGGGUGUGCCUAAACAAUCAGUAAAGGAGUCUAAAAAAAGGGGGUCUUGAAUUCACAAAAAUAAUGUCCUUUUUCAUAUUACUUCCACACUCCUUUAAAUAAGGUUACUAAAAUUGCCCUAUUUGAUUUUAAGAUGAUUCACUUGAAAUUAUCACAUUAUUUCAAAGUAACAGUGCAACUUAGAUAUUAAUUACCCUUCCCAGAGAGAGAAUAAAGCACGUGGGUUUAUCAUUGAGUCCUGUGGCUGAAGAAGACCUGAGAGAUUAACUGGGAACAAGUCGAAGACCCUAAACUGAGAUUCCCAGCGGUGCAGGCAGAGCGAUGGCCCAGAAUUUGCGCAUGCGCACUGCCUGCUGCUCCCCACAUCUGCCCCGACUAUUCCUGAGCGCCUGUCCCUCCUGUCUUCACUCGUAAUUGCUGUGUGCUGGCUCUGCCUGGAAUCACCUUCCGCUUUCCUCUCCCGAACUGUGUCUCCCAGCCCUCCUGUAGAGUCCUCAGUGUGGGGCUGAGAAACGCUAUUACUCUCUCAUUGUUUUGUAUUUCUUUUACCCACAGGUCACUUUUGUUUUAUAUUCAGGGUCCAUUUGAUGGAACGUCUUGCAGCAUCUGGGAACUUCAUUUAUAAAGUCCCUCAAGCAUAUCACCUCGGUGCACCUCAAGUCUGCAUUUUAUGUCUGGCUGUUGUUUAGAGCUUUAAAAAUGAAGGGGGUGGGAGUGGGGGUGGAGAGAGAGGGCGAAAGAAAACACAGCAGGGAAUCAUCACAACUUCCAUUCCUUAUUUUCGUUAUCAGCAUUAAAUGUCAACCAAAUCUGAAAGGCUCUCGGGUGCCUGAGAAAACCGGACAGCACUUGGUUGUUUCGAUUCUGUGCGUACGAAUUGCUCUUCGCCCUCCACGGUGACUCGGGAGUUCUUGUUUCACAUCAGCUGACCUUACUCCUGGGGUGUCAAGAGUGUGAAUGUAGCUGAAGAUACAGCGAAAGAUACAGCUGUAUACCUGUAUACCUGAAUACAGCUGAAGCUACAGGAGGAGGAGAUGCAGCUGCCUCUCAGAGGUAAGUGCAGAGGAGAAAGCUCUACUUCAGUUUGACCCGAAUGGCGUCUCCUUUUAUGUAGAAAGCACUAAAGGAAAGUAGAACCUCUGAAAGAACCAGGAGACAGCUCCUUUGCAGUGCUUCCUUUUGGGGAAACAGGAAGCACUGGAGAGGCAUGAGGAAGCCUGCCAGCUAGAGAUUUCUCGAGUUGAAAGGGGAGUGUGGAGUGCUGCUGUGCUAAUAGUUCCUCAAUUAUGUGGAUUUCUGAAGUUGCUUUGGCUGUUAAAGAAGAUACUUCGUGAUUAGUUCAGCUAUUCUGAAAGGCUUUUUCCUGCCAUACAGAGCUGUCAUCCUGCACCAGGAGUGAAGAAGGCUUGGUUAGAACUUCCCGGCUCAUCAGCAUCAUGAGGGAUCCUCAAAAGAUACUGUUCCGUGUAUACCGGUGGCAUUCCCACGGUAGAUCUAAAACAGUUUCCGAAUUAACUCCCCAUGCCACAGUAAGAAUCGUGCUUCUGAAUAAAGAAUUGGGGAUGUGCGAGUUCCCGAGGUGGCUCAGCGGCAGAGAACCCAGCUGAUAUCCGUGAGGACUCAGGUUCAGUCCUUGGCCUCACACAGUUAAGACGCUGAGAUUGUCGUGAGCUGUGGUGUAGGUCGCAGACACAGCUGGGAUCUGGUGUUGCUGUGGCUGUGGUGUAGGCCGGCAGCUGCAGAUUCAAUUUGACCCCCAGCCUGAGAACUUCCAUAUGCCACAGGUGGGCCCCUAAAAAAAAAAAAAAAAACAAAAAAAAAGCAUAGAGGAUGUGCUGGCAGCGCCCCCCCUUCCCACACCCAGGACUGAGGGAGUACAGUCAACACUGUUCCUAAGUGGCCUGGAAGUCUCCUCCUUUGCUCUCAGUGAAGAUGGGUUUUAAGUGGUUUAUACAUAUAGAUUUAUUUUAAGAAUUUGUCUCAUGCCAUUUGGGGCUUGAAAGUCUAAAAUUUGUAAGACCAACCAACAGGAUAGAAACUCGGGUAGAAUGUGAUACUACAAUCUUGAGACAGAAUUUCUUCUUUUCUGGGAAACCUCAGUUUUUGCUCUCAAGGCCUUCAGCUGACGAGGUGAGGCCACCCACAUUAUCCAGAAUAAUCUCCUUUACCUAAUGUUAAUUAACUGUAUUUUUAUACAGUUUUAAAGGUUAUUUUCCAUUUACACUUAUUACAAAAUAUUGACUAUAUCCCUUAUGAUGUACAGCAACUUUUUAAGUGAAGUUAGUUGACUGUAGAUGUUAACCACAUCCACAAAAUACUUUCACAGCAACAUCUGGAUUUUGUUUAAGUAACUGGGCACUAUAAACAGGCCAAAUUAAAAAUUAAAUUAAACCACA